AGGAUAGCUCUUCAAACAUCUUU
rnacentral:snRNA from 1 species